AUGCAGCCAUGGGCAUCAGCCUGGGCCCGAGCAGCAGGGUGCAGCGCCUCAGCUGUGCCACUGCCCUGGGACGCAGUUCGGUCCCGGCCCCAGCAUGUGCCUGGUGCAGGGGAGGUCUCUGGUCACCUUGUGUGUCCCCGAAGGGUCUUGGGCCCUGCCCUCCUCUCCCUGAGUCCCCCGAGACCAUGGAAACUACCUGGAAGCCACAGUCCCCUGGCACCUGUCCGUUGUCCCCACCCUGCUGUUCUGCCUCUCUCCCGACCCCUGAGGAGGACAGAUGUCCCACAGCUGACUUUUGAAAUAACGUGUGCCCGCCACAAGUCCACGAAGGUAAAGACAGCCUGAGCUACAGGGUGUGGCUGACCUGGAGGACCCAGUGCUAGUGCUCAGCGCUCAGCCUGUCCAGGUCCCAAGGACCCCUGGACAGUGGGACGACAGAGCCUGGGCCUGGCCUGCCAUGUUCCAAUCUCUGCUGCCUGCAAACACACUGAUCUGCUGCUCCCAGUGACAGACCAGGAAGGACACGCCCACCACACCACCAUACCUGUGCCGUACUCCGCAUGUCCCCUGCCCAGCAGGGCUGCUCUCACUCAGUGUCCAAGACUGCGGGCUCCACUGGCCUCUUGGUUUGGUGUUCAGAG
rnacentral:lncRNA from 1 species